CCUCACCUCUCCUUCGGGGUGGUGUGGGGGUGUUUUAUGUGUCUUGUGUUGUUACAUAGAUUGCCUGUGAUUUAAGGAAGCACGAUAACCACCAUUUACUAUUUACCCUGUGUCAAGAAUGUGAUCCUCCCAGCAACGCAAUGAGUCAUAUUGCAUGACCCUCAUCUUAUGAAUGAAGAAACAGAAGCUCCCAGAGGUGCCACUCGCCCGCGGUCACAGAGCUGCCCUGUUUUCUUUAGACGCUGACUCCUGCUGUCCACCAGAUCCUCGUGGUGCAAUGACUGGUGUAGACUGGCUUGUUGAAGUCACUCUCUGGAUCUGAGCAACGUUGGCUGAGCCGUGAUGAAGUACUCCUAUCCAUCCACUAUGCUUCACAGUGGGAAUCUCUCCCUGUUCAUCACCACUGCCCUAGCAG
rnacentral:lncRNA from 1 species